rnacentral:rRNA from 1 species
UACGUAGGGUGCGAGCGUUGUCCGGAAUUAUUGGGCGUAAAGAGCUCGUAGGCGGUGUGUCGCGUCGGCCGUGAAAACCUGCAGCUUAACUGUGGGCGUGCGGUCGAUACGGGCAUCACUGGAGUUCGGCAGGGGAGACUGGAAUUUACGGUGUAGCGGUGAAAUGCGUAGAUAUCGUAAGGAAGACCAGUGGCGAAGGCGGGUCUCUGGACAGUUCCUGACGCUGAGGCACGAAGGUCAGGGGAGCAAACGGG